AGCUCAGGUGGUAAAGCGUCUGUCUACAAUGCAGGAGACCCAGGUUCGAUCCCUGG
rnacentral:tRNA from 1 species